AGAGUGGCGCACGGGUGCGUAACACGUAUGUAACCUACCUUUAUCAGGGGGAUAGCCUCUCGAAAGAGAGAUUAACACCGCAUAAAAUCACAGAACGGCAUCGUUCAAUGAUCAAAUAUUUAUAGGAUAAAGAUGGGCAUGCGGGACAUUAGCUAGAUGGUGAGGUAACGGCUCACCAUGGCCAUGAUGUCUAGGGGAUCUGAGAGGAUGGCCCCCCACACUGGUACUGAGACACGGACCAG
rnacentral:rRNA from 1 species